AGGAAGGUCAGCUAAAUAAGCUCUUGGGCCCAUACCCCAAAAACGUUGGUGCAAGUCCUUCCCUCCCUA
rnacentral:tRNA from 1 species